rnacentral:tRNA from 1 species
GGGGGAUUAGCUCAGCUGGCUAGAGCGCUACAUUGACAUUGUAGAGGUCGGUGGUUCGAGUCCACUAUCUCCCACCA